rnacentral:rRNA from 1 species
AGCGAACAUUGGCGGUAGGCUUAACACAUGCAAGUCGAGCGAGGCGUAAUAGUCGAGCGGCGAACGGGUGCGUAAUACAUGGGAAUCUACCUCGAAGUGGGGGAUAACGUCCAGAAAUGGACGCUAAUACCGCAUAAUCCAUAUCGGGAAAGCGUUGCAGCGCUUUGAGAUGAGCCCAUGGCUGAUUAGCUUGUUGGUGAGGUAACGGCUCACCAAGGCGACGAUCAGUAGCUGGUCUGAGAGGAUGACCAGCCACACUGGAACUGAGACACGGUCCAGACUCCUACGGGAGGCAGCAGUGGGGAAUCUUGCGCAAUGGGGGCAACCCUGACGCAGCCAUACCGCGUGAGUGAUGAAGGUCUUCGGAUUGUAAAGCACUUUAAGUUGGGAGGAAGGGCAGUUACCUAAUACGUGAUUGUUUUGACGUUACCGACAGAAUAAGCACCGGCUAACUCUGUGCCAGCCGCCGCAGUAA